ACGCAUCUCAAGCAAAACUCCAUAAAGAUAGUCAAGUGCAUUCAAUUCACUAGCAAUUGGUUCCACAUAAGUGGAUCUCUUAAAGAGAUUAGCAAGUGGAUGAGGAUCCAUAUCACUAGAUUUUCAGCAGGAGAAGAUGCAAGCAUAUUGAAGGCACAUAGCACACAAGCAAUGUAAAGGCAAACGAUAGAAAAGGGCGAACGAAAAAGGCAAACGAAAAAGGAAAAUGAAAAC
rnacentral:lncRNA from 1 species